GACGAACGCUGGCGGCGUGCUUAACACAUGCAAGUCGAACGGAAAGGCCCUGCUUUUGUGGGGUGCUCGAGUGGCGAACGGGUGAGUAACACGUGAGUAACCUGCCCUUGACUUUGGGAUAACUUCAGGAAACUGGGGCUAAUACCGGAUAGGAGCUCCUGCUGCAUGGUGGGGGUUGGAAAGUUUCGGCGGUUGGGGAUGGACUCGCGGCUUAUCAGCUUGUUGGUGGGGUAGUGGCUUACCAAGGCUUUGACGGGUAGCCGGCCUGAGAGGGUGACCGGCCAAAUUGGGAAUGGGGUAACGCCCCGAACCCUACGGGAGGCAGCAGUGGGGAAUAUUGCACAAUGGGCGGAAGCCUGAUGCAGCAACGCCGCGUGCGGGAUGACGGCCUUCGGGUUGUAAACCGCUUUCGCCUGUGACGAAGCGUGAGUGACGGUAAUGGGUAAAGAAGCACCGGCUAACUACGUG
rnacentral:rRNA from 1 species